UCGUGGACUAUAUGCACAACUAAAGGACAUUGUUCCAGUCACAGGUCUAUGUCCCCAAGAGGGACCUUGUGGUGUCCAGGACACGCUCUGAAGCAGGUUUUCCAGCGUGAGGAAUGAGCAACUCCCCAGUUAUCCACUGGAACUCUUAGAGAAAAAAAUUAGACUUGCUGGUUUAAAAUGGGCCGGUUUCCUACCCACACUGGCCCUACCUACUCACAAACACACAUACAGUGCCUUCAGAAAGUAUUCACACCCCUUGCAUUUUUUCACAUUUAGUUGUUACAAAGUGGGAUUAAAAUUGAUUUAAUUGUCAUUUUUUGUCAAGGACCCACACAACAUACUUUGUAAUGUAAAAGUGGAAGAAACUAAAAAUAUAUAUUUUUAAAUGCUUAUAUAUCUAGAUUAGAUGUGGGUCAUUGGCAUGGGUCCCCAGAUUCUCAAAAGGUUCUACAGCUGCACCAUUGAGAGCAUCCUGACCUGUUGCAUCACCGCUAGGUAUGGCAACUGCUUGGCAUCUUACCGUAAGGCGCUACAGAGGGUAGUGCGAACGGCCCAGUAUAUCACUGGGGCCAAGCUUCCUGCCAUCAAGGACCUAUAUAAUAGGUGUUAGAGGAAAGCCCAUAAAAUUGUCAGAGACUCCAGUCACCCAAGUUAUAGACUGUUUUCUCUGCUAACGCACGGCAAGCGGAACCAGAGCGCCAAGUCUAGGACCAAAAGGCCCCUCAACAGCUUCUACCCCCAAGCCAUAAGACUGCUGAACAAUUCAUAAAAUUGCCACUGGACAAUUUACAUUGACGAUCCCUUUUUACUCUGCUGCUUCUCGCUGUUUGUUUGUUACCUAUGCAUAGUCGCUUCACCCCCACCUACAUGUACAGAUUACCUCAAAUAGCCUGUACCCCCGCACACAGACUCGGUACCGGUGCCCCCUGUAUAUACAGUGGGGCAAAAAAGUUUUUAGUCAGCCACCAAUUGUGCAAGUUCUCCCACUUAAAAAGAUGAGAGAGGCCUGUCAUUUUCAUCAUAGGUACACUUCAACUAUGACAGACAAAAUUAGGAAAGAAAAUCCAGAAAAUCACAUUGUAAGAUUUGUAAUGAAUUUAUUUGCAAAUUAUGGUGGAAAAUAAGUCUUUGGUCUAUAACAAAAGUUUAUCUCAAUACUUUGUUAUAUACCCUUUGUUGGCAAUGACAGAGGUCAAAAGUCUUCACAAGGUCAGGCAGAUCUCCUCUAGAGCAGUGAUGUUUUGGGGCUGUUGCUGGGCAACACAGACUUUCAACUCUGGCUAGGCCACUCCAGGACCUUGAAAUGCUUCCUACGAAGCCACUCCUUCGUUGCCCGGGCGGUGUGUUUGGGAUAAUUGUCAUGCUAAAAGACCCAGACACGUUUCAUCUUCAAUGCCCUUGCUGAUGGAAGGAGGUUUUCACUCAAAAUCUCACGAUACAUGGCCCCAUUCAUUCUUUCCUUUACACGGAUCAGUCGUCCUGGUCCCUUUGCAUAAAAACAGCCCCAAAGCAUGAUGUUUCCACCCCCAUGCUUCACAGUAGGUAUGGUGUUCUUUGGAUGCAACUCUGCAUUCUUUGUCCUCCAAACACGACGAGUUGAGUUUUUACCAAAAAGUUCUAUUUUGGUUUCAUCUGACCACAUGACAUUCCCCCAAUCUUCUUCUGGAUCAUCCAAUUGCUCUCUAACAAACUUCAGACGGGCCUGGACAUGUACUGGCUUAAGCAGGGGGACACGUCUGGCACUGCAGGAUUUGAGUCCCUGGUGGCGUAGUGUGUUACUAAUGGUAGGCUUUGUUACUUUGGUCCCAGCUCUCUGCAGGUCAUUCACUAGGUCCCCCCGUGUGUUUCUGGGAUUUUUGCUCACCGUUCUUGUGAUCAUUUUGACCCCACGGGGUGAGAUCUUGCGUGGAGCCCCAGAUCGAGGGAGAUUAUCAGUGGUCUUGUAUGUCUUCCAUUUCCUAAUAAUUGCUCCCACAGUUGAUUUCUUCAAACCAAGCUGCUUACCUAUUGCAGAUUCAGUCUUCCCAGCCUGGUGCAGGUCUACAAUUUUGUUUCUGGUGUCCUUUGACAGCUCUUUGGUCUUGGCCAUAGUGGAGUUUGGAGUGUGACUAUUUGAGGUUGUGGACAGGUGUCUUUUAUGCUGAUAACAAGUUCAAACAGGUGCCAAUAAUACAGGUAACGAGUGGAGGACAGAAGAGCCUCUUAAAGAAGAAGUUACAGGUCUGUGAGAGCCAGAACUCUUGCUGGUUUGUAGGUGACCAAAUACUUAUUUUCCACCAUAAUUUGCAAAUAAAUUCAUUAAUUUGAUUUUCUGGAUUUUUUUUUCUUCAUUUUGUCUGUCAUAGUUGAAGUGUACCUAUGAUGAAAAUACAGGCCUCUCCCAUCUUUUUAAGUUGGAGAACUUGCACAAUUGGUGGCUGACUAAAUACUUUUGUGCCCCACUGUAGCUUCGUUAUCGUUAUGUAUUGUUGUGUUACUUUUUAUUAUUACUUUUUAUUUUAAUCUACUUGGUAAAUAUUUUCUUCUUCUUGAACUGCACUGUUGGUUAAGGGUUUGUAAAGUAAGCAUUUCACGGUAAAGUCUACACUUGUACUCGGUGCAUGUGACAAAUAAAGUUCGAUUUGAUUUUGA